CGGAAAUCGUGCUGAUAGUGCAAUGGCAUAAGCGUGCUUAACUGCGAGACCGACAAGUCGAGCAGGUGCGAAAGCAGGUCAUAGUGAUCCGGUGGUUCUGUAUGGAAGGGCCAUCGCUCAACGGAUAAAAGGUACUCUGGGGAUAACAGGCUGAUACCGCCCAAGAGUUCAUAUCGACGGCGGUGUUUGGCACCUCGAUGUCGGCUCAUCUCAUCCUGGGGCUGUAGCCGGUCCCAAGGGUAUGGCUGUUCGCCAUUUAAAGAGGUACGUGAGCUGGGUUUAAAACGUCGUGAGACAGUUUGGUCCCUAUCUGCCGUGGGCGUUGGAUAUUUGAAGGGGGCUGCUCCUAGUACGAGAGGACCGGAGUGGACGAACCUCUGGUGUACCGGUUGUGACGCCAGUCGCAUCGCCGGGUAGCUAUGUUCGGAAGAGAUAACCGCUGAAAGCAUCUAAGCGGGAAACUCGCCUUAAGAUGAGAUAUCCCCGGGGACUUGAUCCCCUUGAAGGGUCGUUCGAGACCAGGACGUUGAUAGGUCAGGUGUGUAAGCGCAGUAAUGCGUUCAGCUAACUGAUACUAAUUGCCCGUAAGGCUUGAUCCUAUAACA
rnacentral:rRNA from 1 species